UGCAAGUCGAACGGCAGCGCGGGGCAACCUGGCGGCGAGUGGCGAACGGGUGAGUAAUAUAUCGGAACGUGCCCUGGAGUGGGGGAUAACGUAGCGAAAGUUACGCUAAUACCGCAUACGAUCUAAGGAUGAAAGUGGGGGACCGCAAGGCCUCACGCUCCUGGAGCGGCCGAUAUCUGAUUAGCUAGUUGGUGGGGUAAAGGCCUACCAAGGCAUCGAUCAGUAGCUGGUCUGAGAGGACGACCAGCCACACUGGAACUGAGACACGGUCCAGACUCCUACGGGAGGCAGCAGUGGGGAAUUUUGGACAAUGGGCGCAAGCCUGAUCCAGCAAUGCCGCGUGAGUGAAGAAGGCCUUCGGGUUGUAAAGCUCUUUUGUCAGGGAAGAAACGGUGGUUCCUAAUACGGACUGCUAAUGACGGUACCUGAAGAAUAAGCACCGGCUAACUACGUGCCAGCAGCCGCGGUAAUACGUAGGGUGCAAGCGUUAAUCGGAAUUACUGGGCGUAAAGCGUGCGCAGGCGGUUUUGUAAGUCUGUCGUGAAAUCCCCGGGCUCAACCUGGGAAUUGCGAUGGAGACUGCAAGGCUAGAAUCUGGCAGAGGGGGGUAGAAUUCCACGUGUAGCAGUGAAAUGCGUAGAGAUGUGGAGGAACACCGAUGGCGAAGGCAGCCCCCUGGGUCAAGAUUGACGCUCAUGCACGAAA
rnacentral:rRNA from 1 species